UACGUAGGCAGCAAGCGUUGUUCGGAAUUACUGGGCGUAAAGGGCGCGUAGGCGGCCUUCUAAGUCGAACGUGAAAUCCCUGGGCUCAACCCAGGAACUGCGUCCGAUACUGGAAGGCUUGAAUCCGGGAGAGGGAUGCGGAAUUCCAGGUGUAGCGGUGAAAUGCGUAGAUAUCUGGAGGAACACCGGUGGCGAAGGCGGCAUCCUGGACCGGUAUUGACGCUGAGGCGCGAAAGCCAGGGGAGCAAACGGG
rnacentral:rRNA from 1 species